AAUUUCCUGAAAUCAAAAGGUGAAUCAUUUACACUAAAUCUGAAGCCAAUUUACAAAAAUUUAUGAUACAAGGCAUCUUGAUAGAUCUAUUAUAAAGAUAAAACUAUGAUAGAGUUAUCAUGUAAUUUGUGAAAAGCUCUCUCAAAAAAAGAGUAUUGUUAUUAGAAUCAAUGGGUGAUAAGAUGAGAUUGGACCAACAAUGAUGAUAAUGUCCAAAUGACUGUUGAAUAUUAAAUGUAAGGCCAUAAACCUAGUUGUCUUGCUAUAAAGGUAGAUAGUAAAACACCUACUAUUGUUAAAUAUUAUAUGUUGAGAUUAAUGAUAUUUACAUUUUCCAUUCUACAUUUAUUUUUCAUUCACCAUCAGCAUGAGCUCGUAUGCUCGAUGAUCUGGUGUGCAUUGAGACUUGGUAGAAGUCAUUUCUAUGCUAAUAUCCUCAUUUUACAGGAUAUUAAAUGUAAGGGCAUAAACCAAGUUGUCUUUGUAUAAAGAAAAUGCAAGGCUAAUAGUAGCACAAAAGCCAACCAGUUGGUUGCACAAAAUGGAAUGAGGGGGAUGACACAAAAACAAGGCAGGACCACUUGGGAAAAAGAAGACACGUGGCUAAUGCAGACUAAGGAAUUUUUUAGACAAUUAAAGGUGAGGGAAGAUAAAAGCAAAAGGGGAGAGACGGCAGAGAAGAAAAUUGCAGAAGAAAUCAGUGAGGGAGAGUUCCAGCCUCUCGAGUUUUGGAGAGAGUUAUGUUCUAUUUUAAGUUUUUGCUAAAGUUUGUGUUCUGUGUUGCAAAAACAAUAUUAGCGAGAAAUUAUCUCUGUACUUCUGAAAAUCAAUAUCAAUACAAUCAGUAUUUUUUGUA